AUUGAACGCUGGCGGCAUGCUUUACACAUGCAAGUCGAACGGUAACAGGCCGCAAGGUGCUGACGGGUGGCGAACGGGUGAGUAAUGCAUCGGAACGUGCCCAGUCGUGGGGGAUAACUACUCGAAAGGGUAGCUAAUACCGCAUACGAUCUAUGGAUGAAAGCGGGGGACCGUAAGGCCUCGCGCGAUUGGAGCGGCCGAUGUCAGAUUAGGUAGUUGGUGGGGUAAAGGCUCACCAAGCCAACGAUCUGUAGCUGGUCUGAGAGGACGACCAGCCACACUGGGACUGAGACACGGCCCAGACUCCUACGGGAGGCAGCAGUGGGGAAUUUUGGACAAUGGGCGCAAGCCUGAUCCAGCAAUGCCGCGUGCAGGAAGAAGGCCUUCGGGUUGUAAACUGCUUUUGUACGGAACGAAACGGCUCUGGUUAAUACCCGGGGCUAAUGACGGUACCGUAAGAAUAAGCACCGGCUAACUACGUG
rnacentral:rRNA from 1 species